AUACGCUCUACGGAGGAAAGCCGGGGACCGCAAGGCCUGGCACUGAUAGAUGAGCCCGAGUCGGAUUAGCUAGUUGGCGGGGUAACGGCCCACCAAGGCGACGAUCCGUAGCUGGUCUGAGAGGACGAUCAGCCACACCGGAACUGAGACACGGUCCGGACUCCUACGGGAGGCAGCAGUGGGGAAUAUUGGACAAUGGGGGAAACCCUGAUCCAGCGACGCCGCGUGGGUGAAGAAGGCCUGCGGGUUGUAAAGCCCUUUCGGUAGGGAAGAAAUCUCUUGCUCUAACACGGCAGGAGUUUGACUUAACCUACAUAAGAAGCACCGGCUAACUCUGUGCCAGCAGCCGCGGUAAUACAGAGGGUGCGAGCGUUAAUUGGAAUUACUGGGCGUAAAGCGCACGUAGUCGGCUUGCCAAGUCGGGUGUGAAAUCCCCGGGCCCAACCUGGGAACUGCAUCCGAAACUGGCUUGCUAGAGUAUGGGAGAGGGAGGCGGAAUU
rnacentral:rRNA from 1 species